GCAAGGAAUUUUGCGCAAUGGGCGAAAGCCUGACGCAGCGACGCCGCGUGGGGGAUGAAGGCCUUCGGGUUGUAAACCCCUUUUCCCGAAGAAGAAUUAUGACGGUACUCGGGGAAUAAGUCUUGGCUAACUACGUGCCAGCAGCCGCGGUAAUACGUAGGAGGCGAACGUUAUUCGGAUUUACUGGGCGUAAAGCGGGCGUAGACGGCUUCUUAAGUCGGAUGUGAAAUCUCCUGACUUAAUCAGGAGGGGACAUUCGAUACUACGAAGCUAGAGGACGGUAGAGGAAAGCGGAACUCCCGGUGUAGCGGUGAUAUGCGUAGAUAUCGGGAGGAACACCAGUGGCGAAGGCGGCUUUCUAGGCCGUUCCUGACGUUGAGGCCCAAAAGCGUGGGGAGCGAAACGGAUUAGAAACCCCUGUAGUCC
rnacentral:rRNA from 1 species